rnacentral:rRNA from 1 species
AGAGUUUGAUCCUGGCUCAGAGUGAACGCUGGCGGUAGGCCUAACACAUGCAAGUCGAACGGCAGCACAGGAGAGCUUGCUCUCUGGGUGGCGAGUGGCGGACGGGUGAGGAAUACAUCGGAAUCUACUUUUUCGUGGGGGAUAACGUAGGGAAACUUACGCUAAUACCGCAUACGACCUACGGGUGAAAGCAGGGGAUCUUCGGACCUUGCGCGAUUGAAUGAGCCGAUGUCGGAUUAGCUAGUUGGCGGGGUAAAGGCCCACCAAGGCGACGAUCCGUAGCUGGUCUGAGAGGAUGAUCAGCCACACUGGAACUGAGACACGGUCCAGACUCCUACGGGAGGCAGCAGUGGGGAAUAUUGGACAAUGGGCGCAAGCCUGAUCCAGCCAUACCGCGUGGGUGAAGAAGGCCUUCGGGUUGUAAAGCCCUUUUGUUGGGAAAGAAAUCCAGCUGGUUAAUACCCGGUUGGGAUGACGGUACCCAAAGAAUAAGCACCGGCUAACUUCGUGCCAGCAGCCGCGGUAAUACGAAGGGUGCAAGCGUUACUCGGAAUUACUGGGCGUAAAGCGUGCGUAGGUGGUCGUUUAAGUCCGUUGUGAAAGCCCUGGGCUCAACCUGGGAACUGCAGUGGAUACUGGACGACUAGAGUGUGGUAGAGGGUAGCGGAAUCCCUGGUGUAGCAGUGAAAUGCGUAGAGAUCAGGAGGAACAUCCAUGGCGAAGGCAGCUACCUGGACCAACACUGACACUGAGGCACGAAAGCG